rnacentral:rRNA from 1 species
GACGAACGCUGGCGGCGUGCCUAAUACAUGCAAGUUGAGCGCUGAAGGUUGGUACUUGUACCAACUGGAUGAGCAGCGAACGGGUGAGUAACGCGUGGGGAAUCUGCCUUUGAGCGGGGGACAACAUUUGGAAACGAAUGCUAAUACCGCAUAAAAACUUUAAACACAAGUUUUAAGUUUGAAAGAUGCAAUUGCAUCACUCAAAGAUGAUCCCGCGUUGUAUUAGCUAGUUGGUGAGGUAAAGGCUCACCAAGGCGAUGAUACAUAGCCGACCUGAGUGGGUGAUCGGCCACAUUGGGACUGAGACACGGCCCAAACUCCUACGGGAGGCAGCAGUAGGGAAUCUUCGGCAAUGGACGAAAGUCUGACCGAGCAACGCCGCGUGAGUGAAGAAGGUUUUCGGAUCGUAAAACUCUGUUGGUAGAGAAGAACGUUGGUGAGAGUGGAAAGCUCAUCAAGUGACGGUAACUACCCAGAAAGGGACGGCUAACUACGUG